AAAAAAAACGAAAGUGGAAGGAAAUUGAAGAUUGAACAAAAAGACAGGACAGCGAGGCACAUGGCGACCAAAAAUAGUUAUAUAAAUCCUUCUACAACCUCACACACAAAUCUCACUUUUUUUCCCUUCAAUUUCAACCUUCACCUUUCACUUCCUCGUUCUUCUUCUUCCUCUUUCUUCUCCAUUCAUUCACCUCCUUUAUCCACAUUCAACAUACACAACAGUACGUAUCUUCUUCUCCUCAUUCUUUUCCAGAUCUGUUUCCUUCAUUUUUGUUUGUUCAUUUCUGCUAGUAUUCAUUUGUCGCUAUACUUUAUAAUUCUGAACGUAACACAGUAG